ACUGAAAGAGUUUAAAGAUAGGCUCAUCUGAUUACCAAGUUCUCCUUAAAUCCUACAGAAACCAACCUGUUAAAGACAUAAUUUAAUCUAAAACAUGAUGCUAUUUAGCACACCUUUUAACCUGGUAUAUAUCAAGUGUUUAAGGACUUGCUCUUAUGUGAUAUAGCGAGACCUGCGACUUGCAAGGGUUUGUUCGUGUCUAUUGAUAAACUCCUAUCUUCAAACUUGCCAAAGAGAAGAGUGGUAAAAAAUAUCCUAUUGGAAAACAACAGAUGCGGUGUUGUACAGCACAUACAUUAAAAGUGCAUGUGUUAAAAUUAUUAUUUUCCCUACAAGAUAAUACUAUUUUUUUUUUUUUUUUGGUGAGGAAGAUCAGCCUGUGGCAACAUCUGCCAAUCCUCUUUUUUUGCUGAGGAAGACUGGCCUUGGGCUAACAUCCAUGCCCAUCUUCCUCCAUUUUAUAUGGGACGCUGCCACAGCAUGGCUUGCCAAGCAGUGCGUCGGUGUGCGCCCGGGAUCCAAACUGGCAAACCCCAGGCUGCCACAGCGGAGCACACGCAGCUUGUGCCACUGGGCCGGCCCCAAGGUAAUACUAUUUUUUAAAUUGGGUUUAUUUUAUUAUAAUAGUAACAUUUUAGCUUUUCAGUAUUAUAGGAAUUUAAAAAUUGGUUUCUUGUAGGGGACUUCUCAACCUUGGGAGUAUAUUAAUUUUUUUAUUGCUUUCAAUGCUUUAUUAUCCAGCUAAAGUUCCAUGCGAUGUAGCAAAAUCCUGAUAAGGAUCAGUGAAAUAGAACUUGGUCAAAGAUUUGCUCAAAGUAGAAGCAUAUGGGUGUGAAAAGUGGAACGCUCAUUGCCAGAGCAGAAAAGAUGACACAUUAUCAGGCACAGAAGAGAAGAGGUUUGGCUUAGAGGGCAAUAGUGUUUAUUAACCUUCUUGAACAAAUGAUUGGGGACCAGCAGCUAUUUUCUCAGGAUAAAUAGUCCACCCAACUUCUCUAUAACAAGUCUGGGGAGACUUAAUCUCCAUUUUCAUAUUUAUGAACCUCUCCACACAAGCAAUUUCUUAAUGAAGAUUAAUGGAAUUGUUAAAAAUCUGAGAGAAAUCAUGAGUGAGCUUUUUUUUUUUUUUUCUGGCUUCAGCUUUUGACAAGAAAAAUUUUAAAUGUAGUACAGGUAAAACCUAACUGCUACAUUACUAUUAUAAGGAGAUUCUAUGUUUCUGUUAAACAAAGUAUUCAAAAAAUAUCUAAGCAGUAGCUUUCCCUGGGGGAAAAAGUGCUAGUUGGCAAUUUAAAGAAAUAGAUUUUUGUCUACUGUGGGUAAAUCAAUUAACUUCUUAUGUAAAAGCAAUAGUUGAAAUGUGAUGUCAUUUUGUUCAGAAUGUUGUGAGCAAAUAAAAAUGUUGAAAUUA